GCUCUUUGGAUUUUCUGGUUUCCGGCCUCGUGGUCGUCGCCAUUGCUGUCCGCGGCAUCUCUCAUUGAGCUCACUUCUGCCGCAGGUCGCUCCAGCCAUCAAUCUUGAAGGAGAAACAAAACGCCGCUGCUGCCGUUGCCACUGUUGCCGCUGCUGCUGACUCGAAAGAAAAAGAAGAAAGGCUUUAAAGCGAAAGUGUUCUCCGUUAACAGCGCCAGCAGCCGGGAACAGGAGACAAGCAGGGAAAAGUUUCCAGAACACAGAGCCUUUCAGACAAAAACCACAGCAACUGAUUCGGAUGUUAUCAUCGCAAGCGAGGGACUCCUCUCAUCGACCCAGGAAGAGCGAGAAAAAGAAAGAAAAGAAGCGGGGAAAAGGAGCCGAGUUUGUUCUCCCGAGGCAUAGCCGCGCAGCGGUGUUUAUGGUGUGAUUUGUGUGCUGUGGAGGAGUAGGCCCUCCAAGGCACUCUGGAUUCUGCGUGAUGUUGGCUACUGCUAUACUACAGUUCGUUCUUCCGGGGAGGGGCAGCAGGAUCGGAUUUGGUGCUCGAAAUCUACGGAAAAACAGAGAAUAAAAAAAAAACGCGCAAAACCAAGUUUUUCACCCA